rnacentral:tRNA from 1 species
GGUUAGCUUAGUUGGUAGCGCGUCUGCCUUGUAAGCGCUAGGCCGCGGGUUCGAUUCCCGCCCG